rnacentral:misc_RNA from 1 species
GAAAUGCGAUAAGUAAUGUGAAUUGCAGAAUUCAGUGAAUCAUCGAAUCUUUGAACGCAGCUUGCGCUCCUUGGUAUUCCUUGGAGCAUGCCUGUUUGAGUAUCAUGAAAUCUUCAAAGUAAAUCUUUUGUUAACUCAAUUGGUUUCUACUUUGGUAUUGGAGGUCUUUGCAGCUUCACACCUGCUCCUCUUUGUUCAUUAGCUGGAUUUCAGUGUUAUGCUUGGUUCCACUCGGCGUGAUAAGUUAUCUAUCGCUGAGGACACUGUAAAAGGUGGCCAAGGUAAAUGCAGAUGAACCGCUUCUAAUAGUCCAUUGACUUGGACAAUACUUUUAUGAUCUGAUCUCAAAUCAGGUAGGACUACCCGCUGAACUUAAGC